UAGUCUAAGCUGUAAACGAUGAAUACUAUCUAUGGAGUGUCCUAAGAUGCUCUGUGGAGAAGCUAACGCAUUAAGUAUUCCGCCUGGGGAGUACGGUCGCAAGACUAAAACUCAAAGGAAUUGACGGGGACCUGCACAAGCGGUGGAGCAUGUGGUUUAAUUCGAUAAUCCGCGAGGAACCUUACCUACUCUUGACAUCCUAAGAAGGGAGAAGAGAUUCUCCUGUGCCUUCGGGAACUUAGUGACAGGUGUUGCAUGGUUGUCGUCAGAUCGUGUUGUGAAAUGUUGGGUUAAGUCCCUUAACGAUCGCAACCCUCAUCUUUAGUUGCCAUCAUUAAGUUGGGAACUCUAAAGAAACUGCCGUCGCAAGACGGAGGAAGGAGAGGACAAAGUCAAAUCAUUAUGACCCUUAUGAGUAGGGCUACUUCAUGUGCUACAAUGGGCAAUACAAAGGGUUGUCAAAGCGCGAGCUGGAACUAAUCCCUAAAAGUUGUUCUCAGUCCGGA
rnacentral:rRNA from 1 species